rnacentral:lncRNA from 1 species
AGUUGGGGAGAGUAAAGAAAGAAGAGUUGAUUAGAAACUUGGAAAAGUGAGUUUUUAUGAAAGGGUGAAAAUACGAAAAGAAACAAGAAAAAGAAAUCACCCUUGAAACCAUAGAGCAAAGAAAAAAGUAAAGAAAGAAAAAAAUCAAAGAAAAUGCUCAUGGUUGUGUGGAUGUAAAAAGAAAAAGAAAAAAAAUAGGGAUCAAAGAAAGGGAAGUUGUGUAGAGUUGAAUGUUUGGGAAUGCUCCCUUAGGAUAG